rnacentral:misc_RNA from 1 species
UGAAUUAUAAAUAUUUGUGAAUUUACCACAGCAAACAAAAAUCAUACAAUCAAAACAAAAAUAAUUA